rnacentral:rRNA from 1 species
AGUAAAAGUCGUAACAAGGUUUCCGUAGGUGAACCUGCGGAAGGAUCAUUAAAGUAUCUCCUCGGGAGGGAGGCGAGCCCUGCUCCGACCCUGUACCCUUUUUGGGGGGGUUGUGCAGCGGGCGAACCGACCGACCGAAACCUUACAAACCCCCUGUGCACUUCAGCGGCAGAGGGAUCCCUGGGCGAGAGCUCGGGGGACCCGAAACCGUUACCUUUACGAACACUAUUGAAAAGAAUGCGUUGCGGCCGUUGCGUCGCCUAACAAACGAAACAACUUUCAACAACGGAUCUCUUGGCUCUCGCAUCGAUGAAGAACGCAGCGAAAUGCGAUAAGUAAUGUGAAUUGCAGAAUUCAGUGAAUCAUCGAAUCUUUGAACGCACCUUGCGCUCCUUGGUAUUCCGAGGAGCAUGCCUGUUUGAGUGUCUUGAAGUCAUCAACCCGAACCGUUUUUCUUGAGCGGUCGGGGUUGGAGCUGGGGGACCUUUGCCGCUCGUCUCGGGCGGCUCCCCUCAAAUGCGUCGGUCGGGCCUGUGGGUCAAACUCGGCUGGGCGUUGUACCAUCCUCGCUCUAACGAGAAGGGCCCCUUUCCGUUGCCCCUCCUCAACCUGCCCCUCGUCAGGGUCGGCGGUCAACAAACAUUUGAAAUCUGACCUCAAAUCAGGUAGGACUACCCGCUGAACUUAAGCAUAUCAAUAAGCGGAGGA